rnacentral:rRNA from 1 species
UACGGAGGGUGCGAGCGUUAAUCGGAAUAACUGGGCGUAAAGGGCACGCAGGCGGGGUUUUAAGUGAGAUGUGAAAUCCCCGGGCUUAACCUGGGAAUAGCAUUUCAGACUGGGAGGCUAGAGUACUUUAGGGAGGGGUAGAAUUCCACGUGUAGCGGUGAAAUGCGUAGAGAUGUGGGGGAAUACCGAAGGCGAAGGUAGCCCCUUGGGAAUAUACUGACGCUCAUGUGCGAAAGCGUGGGGAGCAAACAGG